UGGAUUGAUGACUACUGGUGGCGUAUGAGUCGUGUACGAUGAAUAUGUGUCUGGAACUCUGAGGUCCAA
rnacentral:snoRNA from 1 species